CGGCGGACGGGUGAGUAAUGCCUAGGAAUCUGCCUGGUAGUGGGGGACAACGUUUCGAAAGGAACGCUAAUACCGCAUACGUCCUACGGGAGAAAGCAGGGGACCUUCGGGCCUUGCGCUAUCAGAUGAGCCUAGGUCGGAUUAGCUAGUUGGUGAGGUAAUGGCUCACCAAGGCGACGAUCCGUAACUGGUCUGAGAGGAUGAUCAGUCACACUGGAACUGAGGCACGGUCCAGACUCCUACGGGAGGCAGCAGCC
rnacentral:rRNA from 1 species